rnacentral:rRNA from 1 species
UACGAAGGGGGCGAGCGUUGUUCGGAAUUAUUGGGCGUAAAGGGUGCGUAGGCGGUUUGGUAAGUCUUAUGUGAAAUCUACAGGCUCAACUUGUAGUCUGCAUGAGAAACUGCCGGGCUUGAGUAUGGGAGAGGUGAGUGGAAUUCCUGGUGUAGCGGUGAAAUGCGUAGAUAUCAGGAGGAACACCUGUGGCGAAAGCGGCUCACUGGACCAUAACUGACGCUGAUGCACGAAAGCUAGGGGAGCAAACAGG